rnacentral:tRNA from 1 species
UGGAUCACCUCCUAACAGGGAGACAACACAAUGAUUUUGAUGCCUGAGUACUUUUAUUCUUAGGCCGAAAUCCUGUCACCUUAGGUCGAUCGGUACCUCAGCUUUGAAGUUAAGAAUCAGCAGCAAUGUUGAUUGCUUGAUGGAGAUUUUCAGUUCCUAAACUUUGUCUAGGUCACACCCCAAAAGGGAUGAGACUCCUGGGCCAUUAGCUCAGGUGGUUAGAGCGCACCCCUGAUAAGGGUGAGGUCCCUGGUUCAAGUCCAGGAUGGCCCAUUCGGUGUUGGGGGUUUAGCUCAGUUGGUAGAGCGCCUGCUUUGCAAGCAGGAUGUCAGGAGUUCGAGUCUCCUAACCUCCACUGACCGAACUCAAUGUCCAGCUUUCAUCGAAUGAUGGAAAGCCGCUCGAUUGUGAUGUGUGACGUAGAUGUGUCCGCUGGAUGACUCCAGCCUCCUGUCAUUCCAGGAUCAGAACAAAUGUUUUGACUUGGUUGAUAAGAUGCUGGGCUCAAAUGAGAUUGUUGAGCAAUCAACAAUUUGAUUUGAAUUCUGGCAGAACCUUGACAACUGCAUAGGUAAGUCUGGAAAAAACAAAGCAUCUCAUGGAUGCAUUGUUUUGAGUCUAAUCAUUCGAAAGGAUGAUUAGAUCUAGAACAAUGAAAAUUCUUUUGAGCAAGAGCCGAGACUCUUGAACGUUCUUUGAUGUGUGUCGAGCAGAUCAGAGUUUGAUUUUGUUUUUAAGAUCAGUGAAAGCUGAGAUUAAAACCAUAAGAAUCCGUUUUCAACAACGGCAAGCGUUCAAGAGAUUAAUUGGUCAAGCUACAAAGGGCUCACGGCGGAUACCUUGGCACACAGAGGCGAUGAAGG